rnacentral:tRNA from 1 species
GGGUCCGAAGUGUUGUCGCGUGGCAUGCCUGCUUUGCAAGCAGGAGGGCCGGGUUCGAUCCCCGGCGGAUCCACCA